rnacentral:rRNA from 1 species
UUAAGUUAUUAAGGGCGCACGGUGGAUGCCUUGGCACUAGAAGCCGAUGAAGGACGUUACUAACGACGAUAUGCUUUGGGGAGCUGUAAGUAAGCUUUGAUCCAGAGAUUUCCGAAUGGGGAAACCCAGCAUGAGUUAUGUCAUGUUAUCGAUAUGUGAAUACAUAGCAUAUCAGAAGGCACACCCGGAGAACUGAAACAUCUUAGUACCCGGAGGAAGAGAAAGAAAAUUCGAUUCCCUUAGUAGCGGCGAGCGAAACGGGAAGAGCCCAAACCAACAAGCUUGCUUGUUGGGGUUGUAGGACACUCUAUACGGAGUUACAAAGGACGACAUUAGACGAAUCAUCUGGAAAGAUGAAUCAAAGAAGGUAAUAAUCCUGUAGUCGAAAAUGUUGUCUCUCUUGAGUGGAUCCUGAGUACGACGGAGCACGUGAAAUUCCGUCGGAAUCUGGGAGGACCAUCUCCUAAGGCUAAAUACUCUCUAGUGACCGAUAGUGAACCAGUACCGUGAGGGAAAGGUGAAAAGCACCCCGGAAGGGGAGUGAAAUAGAACCUGAAACCGUGUGCUUACAAGUAGUCAGAGCCCGUUAAUGGGUGAUGGCGUGCCUUUUGUAGAAUGAACCGGCGAGUUACGAUUUGAUGCAAGGUUAAGCAGUAAAUGUGGAGCCGUAGCGAAAGCGAGUCUGAAUAGGGCGUUUAGUAUUUGGUCGUAGACCCGAAACCAGGUGAUCUACCCUUGGUCAGGUUGAAGUUCAGGUAACACUGAAUGGAGGACCGAACCGACUUACGUUGAAAAGUGAGCGGAUGAACUGAGGGUAGCGGAGAAAUUCCAAUCGAACCUGGAGAUAGCUGGUUCUCUCCGAAAUAGCUUUAGGGCUAGCCUCAAGUGAUGAUUAUUGGAGGUAGAGCACUGUUUGGACGAGGGGCCCCUCUCGGGUUACCGAAUUCAGACAAACUCCGAAUGCCAAUUAAUUUAACUUGGGAGUCAGAACAUGGGUGAUAAGGUCCGUGUUCGAAAGGGAAACAGCCCAGACCACCAGCUAAGGUCCCAAAAUAUAUGUUAAGUGGAAAAGGAUGUGGCGUUGCCCAGACAACUAGGAUGUUGGCUUAGAAGCAGCCAUCAUUUAAAGAGUGCGUAAUAGCUCACUAGUCGAGUGACACUGCGCCGAAAAUGUACCGGGGCUAAACAUAUUACCGAAGCUGUGGAUUGUCCUUUGGACAAUGGUAGGAGAGCGUUCUAAGGGCGUUGAAGCAUGAUCGUAAGGACAUGUGGAGCGCUUAGAAGUGAGAAUGCCGGUGUGAGUAGCGAAAGACGGGUGAGAAUCCCGUCCACCGAUUGACUAAGGUUUCCAGAGGAAGGCUCGUCCGCUCUGGGUUAGUCGGGUCCUAAGCUGAGGCCGACAGGCGUAGGCGAUGGAUAACAGGUUGAUAUUCCUGUACCACCUAUAAUCGUUUUAAUCGAUGGGGGGACGCAGUAGGAUAGGCGAAGCGUGCGAUUGGAUUGCACGUCUAAGCAGUAAGGCUGAGUAUUAGGCAAAUCCGGUACUCGUUAAGGCUGAGCUGUGAUGGGGAGAAGACAUUGUGUCUUCGAGUCGUUGAUUUCACACUGCCGAGAAAAGCCUCUAGAUAGAAAAUAGGUGCCCGUACCGCAAACCGACACAGGUAGUCAAGAUGAGAAUUCUAAGGUGAGCGAGCGAACUCUCGUUAAGGAACUCGGCAAAAUGACCCCGUAACUUCGGGAGAAGGGGUGCUCUUUAGGGUUAACGCCCAGAAGAGCCGCAGUGAAUAGGCCCAAGCGACUGUUUAUCAAAAACACAGGUCUCUGCUAAACCGUAAGGUGAUGUAUAGGGGCUGACGCCUGCCCGGUGCUGGAAGGUUAAGAGGAGUGGUUAGCUUCUGCGAAGCUACGAAUCGAAGCCCCAGUAAACGGCGGCCGUAACUAUAACGGUCCUAAGGUAGCGAAAUUCCUUGUCGGGUAAGUUCCGACCCGCACGAAAGGCGUAACGAUUUGGGCACUGUCUCAACGAGAGACUCGGUGAAAUCAUAGUACCUGUGAAGAUGCAGGUUACCCGCGACAGGACGGAAAGACCCCGUGGAGCUUUACUGUAGCCUGAUAUUGAAAUUCGGCACAGCUUGUACAGGAUAGGUAGGAGCCUUUGAAACGUGAGCGCUAGCUUACGUGGAGGCGCUGGUGGGAUACUACCCUAGCUGUGUUGGCUUUCUAACCCGCACCACUUAUCGUGGUGGGAGACAGUGUCAGGCGGGCAGUUUGACUGGGGCGGUCGCCUCCUAAAAGGUAACGGAGG